GGUUCAAGUCCCUCUAUCCCCAAAAAGCCUAUUUUUC
rnacentral:tRNA from 1 species